AGGGGGGCAACCCCCAAGAGAGCAGCGAACGGGUGAGUAACGCGUGGGUGAUCUUCCUUCGAGUGGGGAACAACAUCGGGAAACUGGUGCUAAUUCCGCAUAAUACCCUGGGGCUACGAGCCUCAGGAUCAAAGCCGGGGACCGUAAGGCCUGGCGCUUGAAGAUGAGCCCGCGUCCGAUUAGCUAGUUGGCGGGGUAAUGGCCCACCAAGGCUUCGAUCGGUAGCCGGCCUGAGAGGGCGGACGGCCACGCUGGAACUGAGACACGGUCCAGACUCCUACGGGAGGCAGCAGUGGGGAAUUUUUCGCAAUGGGCGCAAGCCUGACGAAGCAACGCCGCGUGGAGGAUGAAGGUCUUCGGAUUGUAAACUCCUGUCGACCGGGACGAAUGCACUCGACCUAAUACGUCGAGCUGUUGACGGUACCGGUGGAGGAAGCCACGGCUAACUCUGUGCCAGCAGCCGCGGUAAUACAGAGGUGGCAAGCGUUGUUCGGAAUUACUGGGCGUAAAGGGCGCGUAGGCGGCCUUAUAAGUCUCGUGUGAAAGCCCUCGGCUUAACUGAGGAUCUGCACGGGAUACUGUAAGGCUCGAGUUCGGGAGAGGAAAGCGGAAUUCCGGGUGUAGCGGUGAAAUGCGUAGAUAUCCGGAGGAACACCAGUGGCGAAGGCGGCUUUCUGGGCCGACACUGACGCUGAGGCGCGAAAGCUAGGGGAGCAAACGGGAUUAGAUACCCCGGUAGUCCUAGCUGUAAACGAUGAUCGCUGGGGGGGGGGGGGGUUUUUACUCCCCCCGUGCCGAAGCUAACGCAUUAAGCGAUCCGCCUGGGGAGUACGGUCGCAAGGCUGAAACUCAAAGGAAUUGACGGGGGCCCGCACAAGCGGUG
rnacentral:rRNA from 1 species